ensembl:lncRNA
CCCUCCCCGCUCAGGCCCGCCCGGAGUUGCAGGCGCGAGCCUGGGAGGACGAGUCUCCCCGGGCUUGCGGUCCCUGUCGCCCGUCUCUCUCCGUGGGGAUCUCCGGGGGUCUGGCGCGUGGGCGUGCGUGCCUCAGAGGGGGCAUCGAGACGGGGCCACCUCGGGGGCGAGCCCCGGACCCCGGGGACAGCCUGGCAGCUCGCGGAGGCCGGACCUCAGCUGCCGUUUGCAGCUCCACAUCCCGGGCCCGCACCGGGCGGCGAGGAGCGCGCCAGCCCCUGCCAGCCUUCACCCGGCCAGCGCCAGGCUCGGGGCGGGGCGCAGCCCGCGUCCCUGAGACCCUCAGGGCCAAGAGGAAAGAGCCGGGCUGGAGGGCGAGCCGCACCUCCGAGCCCGACACCGGCUUCGGCGGCGAAAAGCCGAGGCCCCCGCCCGAGCCGAGGCGCCCGGGUGCCCUCCGGGCGCUGCAAGGGUCACCGAUUCCCGGGGUUUGGAGCUUUCUCCUCUGGGCCCGGGGAGCCCCGAGGGUGAGCGGGGAUCGAGGGCCCCGUGUCCGUGCGUCCCGCGGGAGGCGGAAGAGGGUCGGGCGGGAGGUGGUCUGGGCAGGGUCCCCACAGUGCCCGCUCCGGGCCAAAGGCCAGGGCGCACCCCGCCCGCCACCCCAACUCGCACGGCGGCGCCUCCUCCGGCGCCCUGCCCGGUCCCCCCAGGGCUUUCCCCAACCGCUGCUGCCGUGUGCAAAUACAAAACAGCAAGGACAAUGCAAGGGACACUCAGAGCGCUGCCGCCAGCCAGGCAGCCCCGGGGCAAACUCCCGGGACCCUCGGAAGGGCCGUCGGAGAGGUGAAAAGGUCGCACGCAGCCUUCUGGGAACCGCGCUGUGUGUACGCAGCUAACGGUCUGGCUCCCACUGGUUCCAAGGGCUGGCACACGAGGUCUAGGGACGUUGGCCAGGGGUCUCUGCUCAGAGGGUGCGGCGGAAGGACGGGGUUGGGUCAGGAGGAGGGGCGCCCUCGGGCGCUGCGCCCCGCUGUCCAUCUGGGGACGCCGCGAGCCUUUGCCGCCUGCCCGGGGCGCUCCUCCCCGGCUGGGCUACGCGGCAGGCGCAGGCGGGAGGGAGCAGCGAGGGCCGGGCCGGCCCUGACGCUAGGCUGGAGGGAAGGGCGGCAGGGGGCGCGGCCGCGCCCAGCGGAUCGGGAGCCGCGCGAGGCUGCUCCCUCCGCCUUCCCCAGGAAGGGCUCCGCCCGCAGCCCGGGCGCAGAAAACGCCUGUCUUGCCGCUCACAUGCAGAGCGCCUUUCCCCAACCAACUAAUAAGGCAUGCACUGUGUACUCUGGGGGAGGGAUGUUGAAGUCCUGCCUUUGAUUUUAGCUCAUUGUGGCUUUCUUACCCUCCUGGGUUUCCCCACACGGUACUGGGUACUGGAGCCCUCCUCGCUGAUUGAUAAUUGCCGGCUGGUGCUGCAGCACAGUGCAAAUUGUCCUUGCUAACAACCUCUUCUGCUCUUGGAUUCCGCUCAGCGGUGGAAAGGAUGACUACUGGCUGUGGCAUGGAGAAUGGGAUAGGAGAAGUGUAAGGGAAGAGCGGGUCUUGAGGAAUCUCCCUGGAGAGAUGGGGCUCCUGCAGAGGUGCUCGUGGCUAUGUAGAGUACGCCUUUCCUGAGGUUCUUCUUUACCUGUGGAACAGCCUGGUGCGUGAGUAACUGAUGGAUCUACUCUGACCCGUGUUCAGUUUAUUCCUACGCAGAGGACCCCUUUCCAAGAGGGCACUGAGCAGGAGGGAAGUGAGCUUUGGGUGCGUCAGUCAGGUGAGACCUGGAAGAGGCUGCUCAGCAAACACACAGAAUAAUAAGCAUGUUAGUGCUUGUGGGUCCCCAUGAGAAGAGGGCCAUGUGUACAGGAGCAGUUGGAAAGGAAGGGAGAGCUGUAAGGACACACAUGGCCCACCAGCAGAUGAGGAACUAGAGAAACAGGAGAGACCCAUGGCCAGAGUCUUCCCUGGGACCUGGGGCAUUACCAGGCAGGUUCCUGACAUGGAGUUCACACUGGUGAGUCUGGAGCAGGUGGGCAUGAGCCCCAGGGAGGCCUGCAGAGCACCCCAUUCACGGUGUGGGGAUCUAUGGGCCACCAGCUGGGUUGUAACCAGCUGUCUGGAGAGAAGUUGAGGAUGCUUCAGGUGGAUCUCUUCUUCAACAACCACCUCAGGGAACCGAGAGGGUACAGAGCUAGCAACUGCAUCAAGGACUCCUGAACCCUGCUUCUGGUAUGAGAAAGUCUAACUUCUAGACAAAGUGGAUGUUGAAGCAACACGACACUAUGAAAUUCACCACUUGCUUCAUUCCUUUGGGCUCGCAGCAUUUUCAUCUGUAAAAGGCAGGUGUUGAAUUAAGUGAUCUUUCAGGACUUCCUCAGUUGCAAAGCUGAGUGAUUCUACUUUUUAAAAAAAUCAACAGGAGAGUGGGCUUGCCACCCUCCGCUAUAUCGUGGGAGGCCACGUGUGGGGCAUGCACCCACACAGCUGCUGUUUGGAAGCCUUUCAGCAUAUUUCCUUUCUGAAUAGUUUGUGCCCCUCACAUAGACCGCAACAUGCUGAAGCAAACGUGAAGGCCACAUCCCAAGUCUCUCUGCAUGCACUGUAGCUCUCGGGAAGAAAUAUGAGAAUAAAAUAAUGCACUAUGGGAGGAAUGGCAAGGGAUGGCCAACACCACAAAACAAAAGAAAACAAAGAAACCACAGGACACACACAGAGUCUCGCUGUCCAAAGUCUUCCCCUGGUUUCUCUCAAGUAUGAGGCAAGUGUGCAUUUCUAGUCAGUGGAGAGCAGGAGUGUGUGCUUCAAGAAGAAUCUCUGGGAAGAAACUAAAUUAAAAAUUCAAGGGAAUGAUUUAUUGAACAAAUGUGAGUCAAAGCAUGGUUGUUCCUCUUUAUUCAUCUUCCUGGGAAGAUCCUGCCUUUCUGGGUACCUUUGCUAGGGGAAACAGGAUGUGCUACAAUCUGAAUUUCUGCUCCUUGAUUCCUAGAUCUGGAAAAAGGAUCAAGAAUGGAGCGAGGAUGGCAGUAGGUCUGGCGGAAGACAAAUCAUGACACAUUUUGGCAGUGGACCUUCUUUAAUGUUAUCCCCAGCUUCAGUACCAGAGGUACUGAAGGUAUUUUUUCAGAGUAUUUCUCAGUCUUGAGCUUAAUUGCCAACAUUUUCAUGAGCUUGCAGGGUCCACACAGGGAGUACCAUGCUUUUGAUACAGAAGGCUUCUGGGC